AGAGUUUGAUCAUGGCUCAGAAUGAACGCUGGCGGCGUGCCUAACACAUGCGAGUCGCGCGAGAAAGCCCCUUCGGGGGUGAGUAAAGCGGCGGACGGGUGAGUAACGCGUGGACAACCUCCCCCGGGGUUGGGGAUAACCCUGCGAAAGCGGGGCUAAUACCGAAUACGCUGUUUUCUUCCUGGGUGAUUUGAUUCACCGAGGUGGGGAGCGGGAAAGGUGGCCUCUGGAGCAAGCUACCGCCCCGGGAUGGGUUCGCGUCCCAUUAGCUUGUUGGUGGGGUAACGGCCCACCAAGGCGACGAUGGGUAGCCGGCCUGAGAGGGUGAUCGGCCACACUGGGACUGGAACACGGCUCAGACUCCUACGGGAGGCAGCAGUGGGGAAUCUUGGGCAAUGGGCGCAAGCCUGACCCAGCGACGCCGCGUGUGGGAAGAAGGCCCUCGGGUCGUAAACCACUGCCAGGAGGGAAGAAAAGC
rnacentral:rRNA from 1 species